rnacentral:rRNA from 1 species
UACGUAGGGUGCGAGCGUUAAUCGGAAUUACUGGGCGUAAAGCGUGCGCAGGCGGUUUUGUAAGCCAGAUGUGAAAUCCCCGGGCUCAACCUGGGAAUGGCAUUUGGGACUGCAAGGCUUGAGUGCGGCAGAGGAGACUGGAAUUCCUGGUGUAGCAGUGAAAUGCGUAGAUAUCAGGAGGAAUACCGGUGGCGAAGGCGGCCUUCUGGACGAUGACUGACGCUGAGACGCGAAAGCGUGGGGAGCAAACAGG